AGUGAACGCUGGCGGUAGGCCUAACACAUGCAAGUCGAACGGCAGCACAGUAAGAGCUUGCUCUUACGGGUGGCGAGUGGUGGACGGGUGAGGAAUACAUCGGAAUCUACUUUUUCGUGGGGGAUAACGUAGGGAAACUUACGCUAAUACCGCAUACGACCUACGGGUGAAAGCAGGGGAUCUUCGGACCUUGCGCGAUUGAAUGAGCCGAUGUCGGAUUAGCUAGUUGGCGGGGUAAAGGCCCACCAAGGCGACGAUCCGUAGCUGGUCUGAGAGGAUGAUCAGCCACACUGGAACUGAGACACGGUCCAGACUCCUACGGGAGGCAGCAGUGGGGAAUAUUGGACAAUGGGCGAAAGCAUGAUCCAGCCAUACCGAGUGGGUGAAGAAGGCCUUCGGGUUGUAAAGCCCUUUUGUUGGGAAAGAAAAGCAGCAGGUUAAUACCCCGCUGUUCUGACGGUACCCAAAGAAUAAGCACCGGCUAACUUCGUG
rnacentral:rRNA from 1 species